GCCUUCUUAGCUCAACGGUAGAGCACUUCGCCGUUAACGAAUAAGUUAGUGGUUCGAAUCCAUUAGAGGGCG
rnacentral:tRNA from 1 species